rnacentral:rRNA from 1 species
GACGAACGCUGGCGGCGUGCCUAAUACAUGCAAGUAGAACGCUGAAGGAGGAGCUUGCUUCUCCGGAUGAGUUGCGAACGGGUGAGUAACGCGUAGGUAACCUGCCUGGUAGCGGGGGAUAACUAUUGGAAACGAUAGCUAAUACCGCAUAAGAGUAGAUGUCGCAUGACAUUUGCUUAAAAUGUGCAACUGCACCACUACCAGAUGGACCUGCGUUGUAUUAGCUAGUUGGUGAGGUAACGGCUCACCAAGGCAACGAUACAUAGCCGACCUGAGAGGGUGAUCGGCCAAACUGGGACUGAGAACAGGCCCAGACUCCUACGGGAGGCAGCAGUAGGGAAUCUUCGGAAAUGGACGGAAGUCUGACCGCGCAACGCCGCGUGAGUGAAGAAGGUUCUCGGAUCGUAAAGCUCUGUUGUAAGAGAAGAACGAGUGUGAGAGUGGAAAGUUCACACUGUGACGGUAUCUUAACAGAAAGGGACGGCUAACUACGUG